GUCCACGCCCUAAACGAUGAUCACUGGGUGUUGGGGGAGCGAUCUCCUAGUACCGUAGCUAACGCGUGAAGUGAUCCGCCUGGGGAGUACGGUCGCAAGAUUAAAACUCAAAGGAAUUGACGGGGACCCGCACAAGCGGUGGAUGAUGUGGAUUAAUUCGAUGCAACGCGAACAACCUUACCUACCCUUGACAUGUCUGGAAGGCCGCCGAGAGGUGGUUGUGCCCCGAAAGGGACCGGAACACAGGUGCUGCAUGGCUGUCGU
rnacentral:rRNA from 1 species